GGCUAGGUGGCGCAAUGGUAGCGCGUGGCCCUCCUAAGGCCAAGGCUGUGGGUUCGAGUCCCACCCUGGUCG
rnacentral:tRNA from 1 species